rnacentral:misc_RNA from 1 species
CACCUUCUCCGUCACGCGCGCAAGCUUCUCACGAGAGGAUUGGCUCCGACCGCAGUCUGUGUUGUGCCACCCUCCACCACCUCCGCCUUCCCAUCAGCAGAACCCUUUGCCCCUUCUUUGAUCUGCUAAAACACGGCGCAGCCGUCUUCUCCACCGACCACGACCCCUCCUGUCUCUCUCUGCGUUGCCGCCUCCGUCACUUCGUGUUAACAUACUCUCGGAGCUCGCCACGCUCACUAGUGCGACCUCUGGUCUAUCCCUCGCUCCGCCUGCAGCAGCGGCGGCAGCGGCUGCAUAGCGGAGCCGUUUCGUCAACACGCGUACUUGUGCACCAACGGCUGGGGCGAAGCUGCUUGCGCUUUUUUGUACGGUUGUCGACUUUGCGUAGAGGCACAACCACCCGCAUCCAAGCACCAUUGUCGCGUCUGGCGCCGCACUUGCACUGUUCUCGUCUUGUGUACGGAUCUGACGUCUGCGUGCUAUCACUUCCCCAACCCCUUUCUCUCGCUCUCUGUGUGUGUGUGUGUCGGCAACGCAGUUGUGCAUCUUUUCGAACACGCGCGCCAGCGCCGGCAGUGGAUCCCGCAUCGAUGUGGCGCACGCUCUCUCAGCAUCGCUCUUUCCGUUCAUCCUCCGCCUUUUCUCUGCGUGAAAGCUGGUGCGCUGUCGCGUAUGGAGUCGCGUUAUUCAUUGCGGAACGAGAGCCCCACCGAGGGGCUUGCAACGACCUCUUCUGCGAGAAAACAUCACGCGCCGUUGCCGCAGCGCCGGCACGGCGCCGCAAAGGCACACCCGCAGAUCAAGAUUGAGCCAAGCUGCCUCGUCUUCCCCCCGCCGCACUUUGGGCGUUGCAUCCAGAACGCCAUCUCCAUCUACAACGUGUCGAAGCAGCCGUGCGUGUUCAAGCUGCGCAGCCAAAACCCCGAGCGGUACGUGGCGAAGCCGCACGUCGCCAUUGUGGCACCGGAGUCUGCAACGCGCAGCUUCGUGACGCUCCGCGACAUGAACACGCUGGGAAUGAAGAAUUUGCCCGAAGGAACGCAAGACCGCUUCCGCUUCUCGCUGAAGCUCUACGACCCCAUGACGGUGGACCCGUCGCUCUCGCCGAAGGACCUGUGGAACCUUCUGACGGCGCGCGGGGACAAGGUGGAUCAUGAGCAGGACCUGAUUGCAUAUUUCACAAAGAGAGACACGCCCGUGGGCGGCCUCGUCACCUUCUUCCCACCAACGUACAUCCCCGUCAUCCCGCCAGCCGUGCCCAAGGCGGCGCCGCCCCCGAACUCGGCGACAGCGCCGACACCGGCACACACCAGCAGCAGCACCGACAAGCGCGUCUUCAAUAGGGACGGGAGCGCUGUGGCGCAGAGGAAGAGGGCAGUCGACGCGGCCGGCGGCGGCGCUGCGUCCCGUUUUCUUGCCGCUUCUGAUGCGGUGAAGGAGUGGGCGAAGGCUGCCGCUACGACGCACGGCCUCUGGCUUGGCGUGUUCGCAGUGGCUCUAAUCGUGCUUUCUGUAGCCGUUGUGACGAGUCACAUGUGGGUCGCUGGUGACGCUGCAGCCGGUCGGGUGCAGGCCACGGCAGCCUCCGGUCGCCUCGCUCUACAGGAGCAUCCGACGCAAGCGAGUCGGGCCGAUUACACGGCACCUGUUGAGCCACUGCCGCAUCAUGCGGAGCCCGUGGCGCACUACGCUGUGCCUGCGGCUGAGCCCGUGCAGGCGCAGCAGCAUCAGCAACAUCACGGGGAGCAUCCGAACAGCCAGCCAGAGGCUGCCUCACCCAUAGUCGAUCCACCCUAUGAGCAUCACGAAGCGCCACCCGCGCAGGAGGAGGCGCAUCAUCAACGCCAUGAGGAGUAUUGGCGGCAUCCAGAGGUGCCUGUGGAGCCCACAGUGGCGGAGCCGGUUCACGGGACGCAAGCUGAACAGGUCGCUCCUCAGGAGCAGCAGUGGCAAGAACCAACCUUUGACUAUGCACAGCAGCAGCAGGAAUCCCACUCUGAGCAGAACCGCUAUCAAGAAGGACCCUAUGCUCCUCCGUAGGCACAGCAUCAGCAGUUGCCAGAGGCAGCACGAACGAAGCAGGAGACACGGAGGUCUAGCAUGCACAGGCCUACGAGGGUCGGGUGCAGCACCACCAAUCUCGACACUCGCGGGAGUAGAACUGGGCUCGCCGAUCAGCAUGCCUACGGUGGCUAUAUGCGCAUGCCUGCCUGUGCGUGUGCAUUGCUGUUGAUACGGCUCGCUUAGGCGUUGCUGCGCAUGCCGUAGUAGCCGCUUGCGCUGUUCAGGCUGAUGCUCUCCUUCCGCCUCCGCCUCUGCCUCUCUGUCUCUCUGUCUCUCUCUACACUUUUCGCACGCGUGUUGCGUGCACGUGUUGUUGUUUGAUAGUCUCACUCGCACCCUUGCUGGGAUGGAGGAGUGCUGUGCGGCUUCUGGGAGUCGCUCUUGUGCGCUUCUUUCCUCUCCUUACCGUAGUGGUGGGCUGCCUUGGGGAGGAGGGGGGCGGCGUUCUGCUCAUGUAGAUGCAUCUCUGACGCGUUACUGAGCGUGCGUACCCGUGGUGAGCGAGGGUGUUUGUGGUCCGG